CGUACCGCUCAGUAACACGUGGGUAACCUGCCCUAUGCUGGGGGAUAACCUCGGGAAACUGAGAAUAAUACCCCAUAGUUCACCACGCCUGGAACGGUGGGUGGACCAAAGCUCCGGCGGCAUAGGAUGGGCCUGCGGCGUAUCAGGUUGUAGGGGGUGUAAUGUACCCUCUAGCCCUCUACGCGUACGGGUGUUGAGAGACAUCGCCCGGAGAUGGAUUCUGAGACACGAAUCCAGACCCUACGGGGCGCAGCAGGCGCGAAAACUUGGCAAUGCGAGAAAUCGUGACCAGGGAACUCCAAGUGCAUCGGGUAAGGACCGAUGCUUUUCUUGACUCUUCAAAGGUCUUGGAAUAAGGGGUGGGUAAGGACGGUGCCA
rnacentral:rRNA from 1 species